rnacentral:tRNA from 1 species
GCUAGUGUAGCUUAACCAAAGCAUAACACUGAAGAUGUUAAGAUGAACCCUAAAAAGUUCCACAUGCA